GAGGAUGAUUUGGUGAGACGUCUGUCACCCCAUUGAUCACUAGGGUUUAUCUAGCUAAUCUGAGUGGCUAGGUAGGUGUCUCCUUCCCUCACCACAACUUGGAUGUCCCUCCUCAAACUGUGGACUUGAUCAGAGAGAUGAACUUUACAGACAGAGGAGGGUCAUUCUUUGGUCAGGGGUAUGGGACUAGCUAUGCUUCACUGUUAGAGCCUCCAAUCAAGUUCUCAAGAACAAGACUGAUAACUCAGAGUGUGGAGCCUUGGACCCA
rnacentral:snRNA from 1 species